AUUGCGAGCAGACGAGGUGUAAAUACGUUUAAAAUUAGCUAAAAGACUAAAAAGUUAAAUCGGAAUAUCGUUAAAUUUUGUGAAUAAAUGUGUUCUGAUGGAUAACAACCACAACUUACCUGAAUAUUGCUCAUGAUCACACGUACAAGUGCUUUUUGAGAGCGAAUGGAAAAUGCGUCACGAAUUCUGUUUUUUUUAAGUCAACAGUAGGGUCAAGUGUGAAGUUGUCAAUCUGAGAGUGAUAGCUGAUGCAGUUUCAUUUCACCAAGGCUGUCUUAAGACUAUUUAGCGACAUUGUGUCAUGGUCUAAUGUUGAAGAAUCAGUUCAUGACGUAAUGACGUACGUUGGACAAGAGUCACUCACUGAAUUGUAUAAAGCGUCGUGACUUUACCGUUACGCUUUUCUCUACGUCAGAAGAAAGCACACAACGCAAUCUGGAAACGAAUGAUGACGUCAGUGUCGCACAUAGAGUUUCAAACGACACAAUACUUUCUACGGGAAACAACACAAUAUUUUCUACAGGAAACAACACAAUAUUUUCUACAGGAAAUAACACAAUACUUUCUACUGGAAACAACACUAUACUUCCUUCGGGGAGUGACGGACAUCCGCAAAUGGAAAAGAUUAUCAUCUUGACGCUAAUUUUUGUGAGUGUGUUCACUGGCAAAGCUUCCGUCUUGACCAUAAUCAUUUACUGCAGGCCCACAAGUAUGUCGAAACCGGACAGAAACGCGGAGAUGUUGAGCGAUUACUGGAACAAACAGGAGACAGCACAUCUGAUAUGUAAGAAAGUUUUGGACAUUCCUUGGGUAUAUACUAUAAUGUAGAAGAGCAAUUUAUCGUUAUUUCUCCACGGCCAUCUAAGAACAACUAAUCCUGGAAUUGUUUUAGGAUUUUGUUCAAUUUUCACGUCAAUUAACUACAGCCUGGAGUUCACAAAAAUGGAGACCAACAUUUUAUAUUUCAAACCGUUACUUAGUAGUAAUUCUUAGUACUUAGUAAUUCUUUUAAUUGGAGCUUAUUGGCAAAUACAUUUUAGAUGCAUAGGGUCUUAUCAACGUCAACGAGUUGCCAAUGGCAAAUAAAAAACAUUAAUGCGAAUAUCAGUUUGAUUCAAACAUGAUUGUAUUUGAAAUUUAUUCUUUAUAAUGUUUGUUUUACUGUUUAGUAGUUUAAUGACGUGAUUUGGGUUAUUUGUUUAUUGAAAGAUAAGGAAGUACAAUGUUAAAUUAAACAAACACCAACAAAGCAACAAAAGACGGACUUCGUUUCAAUACAAAAAAGACGAUAUUCCAUUGUGUUAUUUGUAAAGAGGCAAAUGGUUUAUCUGUAUAUCCCUUCUUUCCGUCUUCCGCUGGUGUUCGUUUAAAAUUGUUGUACAAUGUAUUUACAAUUUAAUACACGGAGGCCCUUCUUUGGUUGUCUGUAUUGGUUUAAUAUAGUAUGAUUACCAUUUUUAUGUAUGUAUGCGGUUGAAUAUGAUUUUAAUGCCAACAUUUAUUAUUGCAAUUUAAAACCAAUAUAUGAAUAAGAACGAGGACGGUUAAUCAAGCUUGAUUAACACCUUUUAAAUGUCAACAUAAACCAACCAUUGUUUACUUCAAUUAAAUUCACAACGAACAAGUUUACGCCGAUACCGAUACAUUUAUUUAUAUUCGUUUCACUGCCGUAGUUGUGUCUAGGUGUCGUAAGAACGAGUCUGCAGAUAUGUGUGUGGUUUUCUCAAUAGUGUACAUAGCCUGUGUACAUGAACUAGUUUCUGUUGUCCAGUAAAACAAUAUUUGCAAUUAUAUAACAUACUAGUUUCUUUUAUUUUCUUGUUCAAAGUCUUCUAAACUUGUAUUCUAGGUUUUAUUCAUCAGCGUUCUGUUGUUUUUUUUUAAAACAAACAAGUAAUAAUAAAGUAAUAUACAAUAUUUAACAUGUAUGAUGUGUACAUCUGAGUCAAGAUUGAUGAGUCAAGUAUCUUAAACAGCUAAAACAACCACUUGUUUUACAUGGCCUGUAUUGACAGUGUAACUCAGUGUGGAGUUUUCUUAAUUAUCCCCCGCCAUAGGCGGAGGGAUAUUGUUUUGCCGUUGUCCGUCCGUCUUUCCGUCCGUCUGUUCAGAGCCAUAUCUUGGAAGUGCUUUGGCCGAUUUCAUUGACGCUUGGUAUGAGUAUAUAUGUGGAUAAGAUGAUGAUGCACGCCAAAUGGCAUUGUACAUCAUCUAUAAAUAACGAAUUUAUGGCCCUUUGUAUCUUGAAAAAAAUGAUUUUGAGUGUCAAAUAUAACACUUUUGUGUCCAGAAGCAUAUUGGUGGGGGAUGUCAAUUCAACGAAUUUGAUUGUUAAUAUUUAUGUCAUACGUGUAUAUUGUUUUCGAUUUAUUUACCGUGUUGCUUUAAAAAACUGAUUCUUGUCUCAAAUGCGAAUAAUAAUGUGCUUUGUUCCUGGUUUUGUUUGCAAAUUAAACUCGAGUUUGAUAAUAUUUAUCGUUAUAUAAACUGUCUUUAAUAUAAGCUUAAAUUUUGAAUUGAAUGUUUAUGAUCAAAAUGUAUUUUAUGUCUUAAAAAUCAUAUUCUUGUCAUUUUCUCUUUGAAAUUACACGAUUUAAAGAUAAAAGAAAAUCUGUCUGAUAUCUAAAUGCGCAGUGUUGAAAGUCAUGUAUUAAGAAAACGAUACGCGGUUCAUAUACACGACCUGUUAUAGUACCGCACGUAAUAUGAAACUAAUUUACUAUACAGAGUAAAUAAUGUUACUCGCCGUGACGUAGUGGAAAUGGUGUCCGCCUAGCGAUUGGUAUGUCACGGGUUUAAUACUCACUAUGGGAGCGUUCUUAAAAACCCCACCAAGUACUGGUUCUUGUCCCAGGAAACGGACUCAAGAGCGUUUCAAUGCCUUGGGCUUUCUAUGCAAUCGAGCUAAAGUAAAUAGGUUUAAAGGAAAUGAUGUUACUGGAUUGAGGUCGUGGCAUUUGUUAGGUGCUCAAAGUAAAAUAGCAUCAACCAGCUUUAAUAUGAUCAUUGCAAUUGUACGCACUUUCCAUCAGAUGUUAUGAUUAUUUAUAAACUUGCAUUCAAUAUGAGAAACAGUACAACUCAGAAAGAACUUCGUCCGUUAACGUUUGCGGUCUGACUCGGAGGUCACUAUUAAGUGAAGGGGCCCUCUGUGAUAUAUUGGUAUAUUCCUUAUACUAUUCUGCUCGGAUUCGCGCAUGUAUUUUAAAAUAAAAUGAUAAUAUUCAUACAGACAUAUGAGUUUAUUCUAGAAAACUGACUUAAACAAUAUCUCGAGCAAUAGUGACUCGACUUAUCAUGUUUAGUAUUUAAUAGUCUGCAGUAAUACUCAACUAAGUAUUUCUAGAUAUUUGGAUCAUAUGUAUCACAAUUUAUCACGUUCAUGUUGUUAAAUGGUUCAAAUUAACUUAUUUAACAAAAUAGCUUAAUCACUUUUUUUCUGAAACUACAACGACAAUAUUUUUUGUAUGUUUAUGUGUCAUAAAAAUAUGUUCCACUCAACAUUAGAAAUCGUUCCUUGGAACUCAAAACUGGCAAUUGACAAGGAGGUGAAAUGGUUAGGGAAAACUCUUUAAUCAAAAUAACAAUUACAAUUAUUUCAUAAACACAUUGCAAUGGGGUUUUGUUUUGUACGAAACAUCUUGUAAUUGGUGAAAAUCAUGCCCAUUGGUUGUAAUCGAGUGGUCGAGUGAGCGAUCUGAAGACAUGACUUUCUUGCUUUGGGUGUAUUUAUUAUUUGUCUUUGUUAAACUGUUAAGCAUUUAAUUGUUAAUUAUGUACUGGAAAUGUGUUAUUAGCCUUGAACGAAUGCCUCGCAAAGGCUGACACGAUUUAUUCGGGCGAUACGUUUUAUGGGGUUUCAUUAUUAUGAAGUUUAAUUUUCAUAGGUGUAAAACUCAUUCAUGUUUUACCUAUAUAGUUUACGAUAGCAACACAACCACGGCGUUAAAUUAAAUGACAUGUCAUAUUAUUUUUUAGUAUCAACAUUGAGUACAAAUACGAGUUGUCAAAUGCAAAACACUUAA